rnacentral:lncRNA from 1 species
CCGCACCUAUCCCUUAUCUUAGACCUAACCUUUUCGGCGAAUAGAGGAGGAAGACCGCUAAUAAACCUAUCUUUCCAGAAGUCGCUAUUGCAGUCGGGUCUAGUCAUGAUUUUGACCAUAAAUUGGUCUUUAUACCACCUAAAAUCACUAAGUUUAGGGCAACGCAGGUUGUUCAGGAUUUCAAGACUUCUAUCCUGAAAGAGCUUUGGUUCACCAACAAAGUGUUUCGUACACAGGUUGUUCAAGAUUUCAAGACUUCUCUCCUGAAAGAGCUUUGGUUCACCAACAAAGUGUUUCGCAAUGUGGUAAAGC